rnacentral:lncRNA from 1 species
CCGUUGCCCAGGUUCCUUUGCAGUUAGUGGCCCUGUGACUGCGUUCUAGCUGGUGGGAUGUGACCAACGUGAUGUGCUCCCUGAAAGCCUGAAGGCCUGCUUUGAUCACUUGGGAGUUUCCUGAGGGAUAACUUCUAUUUUUAAGACAAUUUGAGGUUUAUCUGUUAUAUCAGCUAGUGCUAUAUCGUUGGUGUCAUUGGCAAAUCCAAAGCAGGAUAAAGAUUUUAAAAAAUGAAAAUUGGAAAGAAGUAAAAGGGGGAGCAAAGAAGAGAAGUGAGAGAAUAAGGGAAAGUGAUCUUGUGAUAAACAGCAGUUAAAUUACUAUACUCACCACUCUUCUUCUUGUGAUAAUGUGAGAUGAUACAACGUCUCCAUGAAGAGAAGCAAGGUGAAUGGCAUAGGCAUUGCCACACACAUUGUGAUACUGCAGGAAGCAGUGUGGAGCAGUGAUAUGUGUAUAUAAUGCUACAAACGCUACAAAAAUGUGCCCUGCAGUAUCUACUAAAAG